AGAAUGCCUUGUGAAAUCCAAAGACAGGAGCAUCAUGGGAAAGAGUCUACAGCUGUGGUCCAGGAGGAGUUAUAACCAGCUCCCUGAAGUGAGGAAGAGGAGAGAGGAAGAAAAGAGGAAAAAAGAAGAAGAGAAAAAAAAACUGGCCUCUCGGACCAACAGGCUGCGGGCAGAGCUCUUUAAAAAGAAACUUCUGGAGCAGAUUUUGCAGAGAGGAGGAAAUCAAUGAUACUGCCUUGGAACCGUGUUUCUUCUCACUCCACAGUUCUCAUGCCGUCCCUUGAAAAACACGACUUGACAUUAGUUAGAAAUGAUAUAAAAUAUUUCCUUUCAGAUUGAAUGUGCUCUUAAACAUGGACUGCAGCCUUAUUUCUGUGGCUCUGGAUUACAUCUUCUCUCUCUAUACAUGCAAGACUGGUCAAAAGUUUGGAAUAAUUAAAGUUUUUUAAUGUUAAGCUAGGCUGCAUGUAUUUGCUCAAAAUUACAGAAAAACAGUGAAACAUUACUACAAUUUAAAAUAACUGUUUUGUCUUUGAAUAUAUUUUAGCGUGUACUUUAUUCCAGUGAUGCGCAGCUGUAUUUUCAGCAUUAUUCCUCCAGUCUUUAGUGUCGCAU